AUUGAACGCUGGCGGCAUGCCUUACACAUGCAAGUCGAACGGCAGCACGGGUGCUUGCACCUGGUGGCGAGUGGCGAACGGGUGAGUAAUACAUCGGAACAUGUCCUAUAGUGGGGGAUAGCCCGGCGAAAGCCGGAUUAAUACCGCAUACGAUCUACGGAUGAAAGCGGGGGACCUUCGGGCCUCGCGCUAUAGGGUUGGCCGAUGGCUGAUUAGCUAGUUGGUGGGGUAAAGGCCUACCAAGGCGACGAUCAGUAGAUGGUCUGAGAGGACGACCAGCCGCACUGGGACUGAGACACGGCCCAGACUCCUACGGGAGGCAGCAGUGGGGAAUUUUGGACAAUGGGCGAAAGCCUGAUCCAGCAAUGCCGCGUGUGUGAAGAAGGCCUUCGGGUUGUAAAGCACUUUUGUCCGGAAAGAAAUCCUUGGCUCUAAUACAGUCGGGGGAUGACGGUACCGGAAGAAUAAGCACCGGCUAACUACGUG
rnacentral:rRNA from 1 species